rnacentral:rRNA from 1 species
GAUCCUGGCUCAGGAUGAACGCUAGCGACAGGCUUAACACAUGCAAGUCGAGGGGCAGCGAGGGAGUGGCAACACUUCUGUCGGCGACCGGCGCACGGGUGAGUAACGCGUAUGCAACCUGCCCUUCACAGGGGGAUAACCGGGAGAAAUUCCGACUAAUACCGCAUACGUCCUUUGGGGUCGGAUCCCCUCGGGGAGUGAAGAAGUAUCGUGAGGAUGGCGAUGCGUGAUAUUAGUAGUAGGCGGGG